rnacentral:rRNA from 1 species
UCCUACGGGGGGCAGCAGUGAGGAAUAUUGCGCAAUGGGCGAAAGCCUGACGCAGCAAUGCCGCGUGGAGGAUGAAGGCCUUCGGGUUGUAAACUCCUUUUGACCGAGACGAAAAGUUCUAUGGUAAAUAACCAUAGAGUCUGACUGUACCGGGAGAAGAAGCCUCGGCUAACUACGUGCCAGCAGCCGCGGUAAU